rnacentral:tRNA from 1 species
UCCCUGGUGGUCCAGUGGUUAAGACUCUGCACUUCCUCUGCAGAGCCCUGGGUUCAAUCCCUGGUCUGAGAA